CCCCUNNUUUACCAAAACAUCGCCNCNKRUCMCUURRAWAWWNGAGGUCCUGCCUGNCCAGUGACUAUGNUCAACGGCUGCGGUAUUUUGACCGUGCAAAGGNAGCGAAAUCACUUGUYUYUUAAAUGGAGACCUGUAUGAAUGGCUUGACGAGGGCUUAACUGUCUCCCUUUUCCGGUCAAUGAAAUUUAUCUCCCCGUGCAGAAGCGGGGAUAGCUACAUAAGACGAGAAGACCCUGUGAAGCUUUAGACAAAACAAUAGACUAUGUUAAAUUUACACCUCACCGAAUAGAACCCAGUAACCCCUAUUGAAAUGUCUUUGGUUGGGGUGACCAUGGGGAAAUAAAUAACCCCCACGUGGAGUGGGAGAAUAAUUCUCCUGCCACUAAGAACCAUUGUUCUAAGUAACAUUACUUAUGACCAAUAAGAUCCGGAGCCUCCGAUUAACGAACCCGAGUUACUCUAGGGAUAACAGCGCAAUCCUCUCCUAGAGACCUUAUCGACGAGUGGGUUUACGACCUCGAUGUUGGAUCAGGACAUCCUAUUGGUGUAGCCCGCUAUUAAGGGUUCGUUUGUUCAACGNYWAARGNYCWWCNKGANCUGAGUUCAAAACGGG
rnacentral:rRNA from 1 species